GGAAACAAAAGCAACGGGAUAUGAUGUUCAGAGUUAUCCUUGGCUACAUACCGGUGUUGGAUGCACAUACAGUUGUGCCGUCAUGUCCAUUUGGUGGACCCUAAAAUGACCUGUGCUGUUCUUGCCACCCGCCCCCUGGCCCGCAGGAACACCUCCCAGGCACCGUUGUAAGCACUGAGGACAUCACUUUUACCAGAGAAGAUUCUGGGAGAAGAAAUCCCACAAAUAUGGAAAGGAGUCAACAUCUGAAAGUGUCAUAUUUUUGGCCCUCUGGGAAAGGGAGAAGGGAGCCGAGUUUCCCAGCAGGCACUACACAACUGCGCUCUUCCCACACCCUUCAGCAAGCUUCCUGUGAAGGUGAUGUGCCAGGCACAGUGUGCAGAGGCAAUGGCCCAAAGAGGAGGAGGCAUCUAUCCUGAAGUUCACUGUGGGAGAAGAAGCGUGUGGGUGGAUGAGGCAGGGUUCUCCAGGGGAACAGAACAGACAGAAUGGAUAUACAUGAAAAAAGUGCACUUUCUUGGAAUGGUUUUCAGGAUAGGACUGAGUAGUCCAAAGUUAGCCUUCUACACCCUGGAGAGCCUGGGAAGGGCUAUCUGCCUAGUCCGCGAGCCAGAAGACACAGCAGUCCCAAUUUGAUGCCGAAGGCCUGGAGGAUCCCUGCUUGUUACUGGACUUCGUGAGAAGCUGGACAAUGACUUCAGCGGAGUACGGUGGCGGGGGGCAGCAGACACAACAGCAAGAAGCCAAGGUCUGCAGGUGACACCGCUUUCUCUUCAGACCUCAUUCUAUCCAAGGGCCACGGCCACCCCUUGGGAAGUGUCGCCCACUGUGAGGGAGGGUCUUUCUCACUCGGUUAGUUAUUUUUGGAAACACCUUCACAGGCUGGCACAGAGGUGUGCCUCUUUGUGUCAUAGCCCAUCAAGCCGACAAUGAAGUUUAACCGACACAGUGAGCGAUUAUGUUCCUAGCAACUGGAGCUACGAUUGAGAAUUCUCCAUGGGAGUGUCAUGGUACUGUGAAAUGGGGAAGGGGACAUUUCAUUUGAGUCCCGGGAAGGGCUAGGAGACGGCAGGUGGGGAUGGGGAGAGAAGACAUUCAGAGAGGAAUUGUCUACAGACAGGACAACCAGUUGCAGAGGUAAUUAAGUUCUGAAACCAAGGCUGUACAGACAGCGGCCUCUGACAACAGUAAGGGUCAGGUAGGGUUCUGCAGGGAUUCAGGACUAGCAAAAGGCUCAUGCUGGAACCAAUUCUUAUGAUCAGUUAAUAGACGACUGAUCUGUUUGCCUUUAUUCUUUUAAGUUCAUAAAACUGUUGGACAGUGCACGCCUUUAAUCCCUGAGAGGCAGGAGGAUCUCUGUGAGUUCAAGGCCAGUCUGGUCUACCUAGUGAGUUCCAGGAUAGUCAGAGCUACAUGAGACCAGACCCUUUCUCAAAAAUACGUAUGUGUAUGUUUAUAUAUAAACAUAUAUAACAUAUGUUUAUUUUUGUAAGUUUUUAUUGACAUGUGUGUGAGGAGGGGUUGAGCGUUUGAGUGUGGUGUCACUAGAGGCCAGAAGAGGACAUCAGAUUCCUUGGAGCUGGAGUUACAGGCCGUUGCCAGCUGCCUGACACGGGUCCUCUGCAACAAUGUUAUGUGCUCUUAACCACUGCGCAGUCUCUCCAGACCUUCCUCUUUGCUUCCUGAUGCAGAAACCACCAAGACCCCCACACAGUUUUUCUGGUCUGUUUAAAGUAUCAGAGAAGAAUGAAGCACAUUAGGGAAUGGAGUACAGAUUGAUACAACCUCUACAGAAGACACAUUGCCUAUCACUGUGAGCCAGCAAUUCCACUUCUAGACAUCAUCUGUAGUGUGUGCACUUGUGUGGAAUGACUGCUAUGCAUCUCACCAUUGUUCAUCAUAGUAAAAUAUUGGAAAGUAAAUGUUCAUCAAGGGAGGGUCAGAUGAGCACAAAACACUACCUUUUUAACAUAGAAUAUUAUUCAACACAGAAAAAAAAUCCAAAACAAAGCAAGGGCUAUAUAGCUCUCUGUUAGGACUCAUUUUUAUCUUAUGCAGCAAUAGAUCACUAGGAUAAUUGGCAUCAGUAUAAUUUUUCAUGGGGAGAUACUUAGUGCUUCUAGCUAAGUGCAUUGUGACGUGUGUCUUGUGAAUAAACACGCACUUCUGUAGGUUAUAAACUUGGGCGCGGAAAUGGAUGUGCAGCUUUAGGGAGCCGUCGAGAGUGUCCGCAGCGCCAGUCACGCCCUCACCGGCCGCACAGGUGCAGUCUGACUGCCGGCUCACAGGCUGCGCACAGGUGUAGCUUUAGAGAGCGUGUGGAGAGACUUCACAGCGCCAGCCACGCCCUCACCAGCAGCACAUGCGCAGUCUCACUGCUCACCCUCUCCCUAGCACUGCUUACUCCAUUUUUAUCCUCGCCAUUUUCAUGGAUAACAGUGGCGCCACAUCGUGGUUUUAAUUUAGAUUUUUUUCUCUUAAUGCUUAGUGAAACUUAGUGCCUUUUCAAAAGCUUGAGGGUCAUUUAGAUGUCUUCAUUUGUAAAAGUACUGAAUUUCAUCAAGUCUUUUACCUCAUUGUAAAAGUCGGGUUGGGUUUUUCAUCUUAUUUUUUGAGACAAAGUCUCACUAUAUAGCUCUGACUGUCCUGGAACACACUUUGUAGACCAGGCUGACCUUAAACUCAGAGAGA